rnacentral:lncRNA from 1 species
ACAUCAGCUUUCCUAAAGAGCUGGAUAAGUGUAAAAACUGUAACUUUUGUGUGCAGAUUUUGGACUUGCACAUCAGGCAGAUUCAGAGAUGACAGGUUAUGUUGUGACCCGCUGGUACAGAGCACCAGAGGUUAUCCUCAACUGGAUGCACUACAGUAUUGUAUCACUGAAUCCUUGACAUAGACUUGUAGAUCGGGACCAGCAGUGAGAGAUCACGAAAAUCACAGGCCAAAAACUACAUCAGAGGUCUACCUAAAGUACCAAAGAAAGACUUAAACACUAUUUUCUUUGAAGCCAGAUCAGAAGCACAUCUGUUCCUAAGAAAUUACCUUGAAGCAAAAAUCUGUCCCACCUGUUCAAACAUGAUUAGAUCCCACUUGUUAAGCAACAGACUGACCUUACAUAUGUGAGGUCUGUAUAAAAACCAUACAUUUCUCUCAAGUUGUCUUG